UGUUCCUUUGUAAUUCAAUCUGACUCCGUUAGGGAGUCGCUCAAUAAAAGGACUCCCUACUAGAGUCAAUUUGAACUGCUGCAGGAAAACUCGUAU
rnacentral:miRNA from 1 species